CUGCAUUCUCUCUGCCUAGGAC
rnacentral:piRNA from 1 species